rnacentral:rRNA from 1 species
AUUGAACGCUGGCGGCAUGCCUUACACAUGCAAGUCGAACGGAGUGGCGGACGGGUGAGUAAUGCCUAGGAAUCUGCCUGGUAGCGGGGGAUAACUUCCGGAAACGGGCGCUAAUACCGCAUACUAUCAGAUCAGCCUAGGUCGGAUUAGCUAGUUGGUGGGGUAACGGCCUACCAAGGCGACGAUCCGUAGCUGGUCUGAGAGGAGGAUCAGUCACACUGGGACUGAGACACGGACCAGACUCCUACGGGAGGCAGCAGUGGGGAAUAUUGGACAAUGGGCGAAAGCCUGAUCCAGCCAUCCCGCGUGUGUGAAGAAGGUCUUCGGAUUGUAAAGCACUUUUAGUAGGGAAGCGUUACCUGCAGAAUAAGCACCGGCUAACUUCGUGCCAGCAGCCGCGGUAAUAC